GAGGUAGGUCCCACAAUCAAUAAUAAGCACCACAAGAGCAGGUCCAGCCACAACACUGGCUCUGUUAGGCAAGUGUCCACAGGGACUUGCCACAGUAAUGGAGGCUCAGAUGAGUGCCUCCAGGCAUUUCCGGUUCCUGGCAUCCCUGUAGAUAGGCUGAGACCUACCCAAAACGAGGGGAGAACUGUCCACGGAUCCAUAAACAGGCUUAUCUAAGAAUGAUCAGCUGAGCACUGUGUAUGGACAUGGGGGAUUGAUGACAACCAAGGUCUCUUUCGAGCAUGGAGAGUCCAUGGUCCCAUGAUGGUGUGUUACAUGCUUGAAGACCACAGACUAAAACAGAUACUGCUUCACAGGACUCUGAGUGAAGUUACACUGUCCAACUUUGUAGAGCUCUUCCCAUCUCACUGGUGUGGGAGCUACUGGAAAAGCCUCAGGACAUGAAAGUCAAAGAAUGCAGACCAGAAUGGAAAAUAUUCCUUUGGGAGAUGUAUCAGCUUCAGAACUAGAAAUCAAUGGUACUGGCUAUCUUGAGAGAUGGUCACCUACAUGUCCCUGUGGGCCUUAGCUGCUAAGUGAAGAGGAAUGUGUGACUGGAAUUUAUUCUCAGUGUGACUGGAAUGUGUGACUGGAAUUUAUUUCUCAGUAGGUGUCCUUGAUAGUUUCUUACAUACACAGUGUAAACAGUUUACUGCUGUCUUUUUCAGGUGGUAGGUCAGGCAUUCUCAACAAAUACUCAUGUCAUCUUCAUAAAAUCUUUAGUUAGAAACUUUUUGAGGUAUUGCUCUGUGCACAAUCCAACUUCACUAAUACUUGGAAUCAGUAUUCCAUCCAAAGAGAGACAGGCAGCACACAGUAGGUCCAAACACAUAUUAGGUCUGUUUUGAGAAGACAUUUCUCUCUCUCCAGAUGAGCUAUGUGCUCUUCUAGG